rnacentral:snoRNA from 1 species
AUUUCAAAGAGGCUUUUUGGACUGUGAAGCCAAUUCUAUAAGAUUGAAAUUCUCCAAGGACACCCUAGUCACUCAACAUUGCUAUGCUUUUCUGAGGGAUAUAAGA